rnacentral:misc_RNA from 1 species
CGCUGCCGGGACGCAGCCGCUCUGUGGGCACCCGGCGUCUGUGGCGUGGUGGGUGAGCGGUGGCGUGCAGCCAGGCCCGCCUCAGCCAUGGAUCCCCGCACGGCCGGCCGCGUGCUGUCACCGCUGCUGCUGCCGCUGCUACUGCUGCUGCUGACCUCACCGGUCCACACUGAGUCCCCGGCCAAGUCUACCGGUGCAGCGACUCCAGCAGCGGACCCAGGAGCGGACCCGGCAGACCCAGCAGACCCGGUGGACCCGGUGGACCCAGCUCGCUGUCGGCUCUACGGUCCGGGUCUCCGACCCGACGAGGUGGUCCUGCCGGCGCGCUAUUUCAUCAUACAGACCGUCGACAGCGGCGGCAGCGAGCUGAGGACGUCACCGCGGGAGCAGUUCGAGGUGUCACUCACCGGCGAGUCGCCACGUGGCGCCUGCCACGUAAACAUGCAGGUGCUGGACCGGCACGACGGCGCGCUGAUCGUGCGCUACCGCGUGUUCGUCACGUGCCGCAACGCCGUGCUCCGGGUCCUCUAUAGAGGGCAGCACGUGGCCGACAGCCCCUACAAAGUGCCAGGUCCCGUGUACGCCGAGGAGUGUGACUGUCCGCUGGAGUCGCUGGACGACUGGCUGACGGCGGCCGCCUGUCCGGCCAGCUAUCGCCAAAUCGACCGCGACCUGGAGAAGUACCUGACGGUUGACUUCGACGGCGUGCUCUCGGCCGCCACGCAGAGGUUCUCACAUGCCGGCAGCCAGAGCUUCUGCAAUUACGUCGUCAAGGAUAAUCAGGUGUACCGGCGCUGCUACGGCAAGUACGUGGGCUUCAACAUCUUCAUGGACGCGAUUUUGCUGUCGCUGGCGCGGAAGGCGCGCCUGCCGGACAUGGAGCUGCUGGUGAACCUGGGCGACUGGCCCCUGGUGAAGAGUGCGGAGCCGCCUUCGCUGCCCAUGUUCAGCUGGUGCGGCUCGACCGAGACGGACGACAUUGUGAUGCCAACUUACGAGCUGACCGAGGCUUCCGUCGAGUGCAUGGGAAGGGUCACGCUGGACAUGCUGUCUGUGCAAAGCCGCGAGCCGGUGCCCUGGCACCAGAAGCGGAACGCCAGCUUCUGGCGGGGUCGCGACUCGCGGCGCGAGCGACUGCGGCUGGUCGAGCUCGCGCGACAGCGGCCAGACCUCAUCGACGCCGCGCUCACCCACUUCUUCUUCUUCAAGGCCGAGGAGAAGGAGUACGGCCCCACCCAGCCGCGCGUCUCGUUCUUCGAGUUCUUCCAGUACAAAUAUCAGCUGAACGUGGACGGCACAGUGGCGGCCUACCGCUUCCCGUUCCUGCUGGCUGGUGACUCACUGGUGGUGAAGCAGAAGUCCGACUACUACGAACACUUCUACGAUGACCUGGAGCCGGGCCGGCACUACCUGGAGGUGGCCCACGACCUCAGCGAUCUCGUCGAAAAGCUGGAGUGGGCGCAGGCGCACGAUGCCGAGGCGCGGGCGAUGGCGCAGGCGGGCCGCCGGUUCGCCCAGGACAGCCUGAUGCCGCUCGACGUGUACUGCUACCACGCCGUGCUGUUCAAGGAGUGGAGCUGGCGGCUGCAGAGGCCGGUGAAGGUGCGGGAUCAGAUGGAGCGGGUGGAUCCGCCGGACCACAACCGGCGCUUCGGCGACUGCCAGUGUCACCGCGCGCGGCACAGGGACGAGCUGUGAGCGGGCCGGACGCGAGCUGUGAGCGGGCUGGACGCGAGCUGUGAGCGGGCCGAACGCGAGCAGUAAGCGGGUCGGACGCGAGCUGUGAGCGGGCCGGACGCGAGCUGUGAACCGGUCAGACGCGGCAGCCGCGCCGGCCGCAGGCGACCGGCCAUCCGUGGGCGGCGGGGCUGAACCGACCUGACCUGACGUAACAUUAAGAUGGUCGAGGUCGCCUGCCCGGCUGACGGCUGGCAUCAGUCGCCCUGAACUGACCCGAGGAAGACCGCGGGCGGCAGCGGGGUUAGCUCCCCGCCGCGCCCGGCCCCGGCUGCAGGCGCCACACCCGCUGGGAGUGAGGCACCGCCGGGGGCUACGCCGACCGGUGCCGCUCGGGCGCUCCAGGCGCCACACCCGCUGGGAGUGAGGCACCGCCGGGGGCUACGCCGACCGGUGCCGCUCGGGCGCUCCAGGCAGCACAUCCACUGGGAGUGAGGCACUGCCGGGGGCUACGCCGACCGGUGCCGGUCGGGGGUUCCAGGCGCCACAUCCACUGGGAGUGAGGCACCACCGGGAGCUACGCCGACCGGUGCCGGUCGGGCGCUCCAGGCGCCACAUCCGCUGGGAGUGAGGUACUGCCGGGGGCUACGCCGACCAGUGCCGCUCGGACGAAGGCGGGCCCCUCGAACAGAGCCGGACCGCGUCGGUCGAGGAGGAGGCCGAGGUAGCCGUGUUCGGCGGGCGCUGUCAGCGCCGUCAGCCGGCUCCUGGCACCCCCUCAGUGCGGACCGCGUACCGCCGAGGCGGAGCCUUGACAGCUGCAGGUGCUGAGGUCCAAGUCCAGCCCACGGUCAUGUCUUGCCUGCUGUAUGUGCGCUCGUGUAUUGAUGAGAGGGGCCUGCAGAGUCUGCCGUUGCGCAGCUGAGAUGACGUGUGCAGGGCGGUGACGGCUUGGCAGUGGUCUUGAUUCGGAGGCGGGCAGCGGACCAACCGACAUGCCGCGGGCCUGCCGCUAAUGGUCUGGAAGCCGGCUGGUAGCGUAUGUCUGUCUGAUAGCGAAUGUUGUCGAAGAUAUGUGCAUCGCGGUUGUUCCGUUGAAUUCGUAUGUCGUGAAUCUCCACAUGAUCAUCACUCCGUUUUGUGACACUCCGUUGAUAUUUUUGUAUUUGUUAGCAUGUAAACCACGUGUGCUCGUAACACACAGUAAAAUCCGAA